rnacentral:misc_RNA from 1 species
GAUGAAGAACGUAGCGAAAUGCGAUAAGUAAUGUGAAUUGCAGAAUUCAGUGAAUCAUCGAGUCUUUGAACGCACAUUGCGCCCCCUGGUAUUCCGGGGGGCAUGCCUGUCCGAGCGUCAUUGCUGCCCUCAAGCACGGCUUGUGUGUUGGGCCCCGUCCCCUCCCCCGGGGACGGGCCCGAAAGGCAGCGGCGGCACCGCGUCCGAUCCUCGAGCGUAUGGGGCUUUGUCACCCGCUCUGUAGGCCCGGCCGGCGCCAGCCGACACCCAACUUUUAUUUCUAAGGUUGACCUCGGAUCAGGUAGGGAUACCCGCUGAACUUAAGCAUAUCAAUAAGCGGGGA